rnacentral:rRNA from 1 species
UACGGGAGGCAGUAGUGGGGAAUAUUGCACAAUGGGCGAAAGCCUGAUGCAGCUAUGCCGCGUGUAUGAAGAAGGCCUUAGGGUUGUAAAGUACUUUCAUCGGGGAGGAAAAACAAACUAAUAAUUUUAUUUCUUGACGUUACCCGAAAAAGAAGCACCGGCUAACUCCGUGCCAGCAGCCGCGGUAAUACGGAGGGUGCUAGCGUUAAUCAGAAUUACUGGGCGUAAAGAGCACGUAGGUGGUUUUUUAAAGUCAGAUGUGAAAUCCCUGGGCUUAACCUAGGAACUGCAUUUUGAAACUGAAAUACUAGAGUAUCGUAGAGGGAGGUAGAAUUCUAGGUGUAGCGGUGAAAUGCGUAGAUAUCUGGAGGAAUACCUGUGGCGAAAGCGGCCUCCUAAACGAAUACUGACACUGAGGGUGCGAAAGCGUGGGGAGCGAAACAGGGAUUAGAUACC